ACGCUCGACACCUACGGGAGCAGCAGUGGGGAAUAUUGCACAAUGGGGGAAACCCUGAUGCAGCGACGCCGCGUGAGCGAAGAAGUAUUUCGGUAUGUAAAGCUCUAUCAGCAGGGAAGAAGAAAGACGGUACCUGACUAAGAAGCCCCGGCUAACUACGUGCCAGCAGCCGGACGGUAAUCUGAGGCGGGCGUGGACGAAGGC
rnacentral:rRNA from 1 species